rnacentral:rRNA from 1 species
CUGAGGUCCCGUACCAGGCUGGCGGCGUGCCUAAUACAUGCAAGUCGAGCCUUUUUUAUCCUUCAGGAUAAGUUAGCGGCGGAUGGGUGACUAACACGUAUGCAACCUGCCUAUAAGAGUGGGAUAAUUAUCCGAAACCAUUCUACGACCGGAUAACUGAUUUUCUCGCAUGAGAAAAUUAUGAAACACGGAGCUGUCUGUUGGCUUAUAGAUGGGCCCGCGGUGUAUUAUCUAGUUGGUAGGUUUACUGCCUACCCAGGUCUACAAUGCUGUAUCCGAUCUGAGAGGGUGAAAUCCUUCCACUGGUGGACUGAAAUUCCCGCCUACACUUCCUAUCGGCAUGGAGGUAGUUUUCGCUUUCUUUCCUCCAAGGCACGUCUAGUCCUGAACUCUAUUUACCUCUCAUGUUAGACAUUAUUACCAUCUUUUUUCCGCGAUCCUUUAGGCUUCCGCUUGUCCCCUAUAACCUAAAACUGCAGGAAGCUGUGUAAUCUGGUCCUCUUUUUCGGCUGACUGCGAAAUAGCAAACAGAAAAAAGCUUCUUGGCUCUACCUCUUUAGUGCCCAGUAAACUCAUCGUGUAAUUGAUCUAAAUUGUGUCCCAUUCUUAUUUGUUUUCUGUAAAUUUUUCAGCUGUCUUAUAUACUCCCCCCGACACUUAGACCCUUUAUCACUUCUUGUGGUUGUUUAAGUUUCUGGCGCUUUACUUUCUUCCUUGUUUCUACCUUCCCUCCAAUUUUUGUUUUUUUUUUUCGUGAGAUUAUACGCAAACAAUUCCCCCUACUUUUCUUCGUUCUCCCUGGCUGAUACAU